rnacentral:lncRNA from 1 species
GCGGCCGGGCCGGUAACGGAGAAAGUUUCCGCCGACACUGGCCUGUAUUAGCGCGUAUGGCCUCGGGCCCUCGUUCCCCAAGGCGUGCCGCCUCCCUGUUCUCAGUCGCAGGCUGAAGCCUUGUCUGCUCUCCUCCUUUUUGGUUUGGUUUUGGAACUGACUCCGAGGGUUGGGAGAGCGCGUUGGUGGCGACAGCCGAGUCAGAUCACUAUAAACAAAAUUUCCACAAGAGAAAAUGUUGAAAUAGGAGUUGCGGAUACAUUGGAUAUACUGGAUGAAAUACAAGCGGUUAAUUUUUGUAACGUGAGGGAAAAGCCCACAUUGCUGGUUACAUGUGUAAAUCACUGCGUUAUUGCUUUAGUCAUUGUCUCUAUUUAGCAAUGACAAGACUGGAAGAAGUAAAUAGAGAAGUGAACAUGCAUUCUUCAGUGCGGUAUCUUGGCUAUUUAGCCAGAAUCAAUUUAUUAGUUGCUAUAUGCUUAGGUCUAUACGUAAGAUGGGAAAAAACAGCAAAUUCCUUAAUUUUGGUAAUUUUUAUUCUUGGUCUUUUUGUUCUUGGAAUCGCCAGCAUACUCUAUUACUAUUUUUCAAUGGAAGCAGCAAGUUUAAGUCUCUCCAAUCUUUGGUUUGGAUUCUUGCUUGGCCUCCUAUGUUUUCUUGAUAAUUCAUCCUUUAAAAAUGAUAUAAAAGAAGAAUCAACCAAAUAUUUGCUUCUAACAUCCAUAGUGUUAAGGAUAUUGUGCUCUCUGGUGGAGAGAAUUUCUGGUUAUGUCCGUCAUCGGCCCACUUUACUAACCACAGUUGAAUUUCUGGAGCUUGUUGGAUUUGCCAUUGCCAGCACAACUAUGUUGGUGGAGAAGUCUCUGAGUGUCAUUUUGCUUGUUGUAGCUCUGGCUAUGCUGAUUAUUGAUCUGAGAAUGAAAUCUUUCUUAGCUAUUCCAAACUUAGUUAUUUUUGCAGUUUUGUUAUUUUUUUCCUCAUUGGAAACUCCCAAAAAUCCGAUUGCUUUUGCGUGUUUUUUUAUUUGCCUGAUAACUGAUCCUUUCCUUGACAUUUAUUUUAGUGGACUUUCAGUAACUGAAAGAUGGAAACCCUUUUUGUACCGUGGAAGAAUUUGCAGAAGACUUUCAGUCGUUUUUGCUGGAAUGAUUGAGCUUACAUUUUUUAUUCUUUCAGCAUUCAAACUUAGAGACACUCACCUCUGGUAUUUUGUAAUACCUGGCUUUUCCAUUUUUGGAAUUUUCUGGAUGAUUUGUCAUAUUAUUUUUCUUUUAACUCUUUGGGGAUUCCAUACCAAAUUAAAUGACUGCCAUAAAGUAUAUUUUACUCACAGGACAGAUUACAAUAGCCUUGAUAGAAUCAUGGCAUCCAAAGGGAUGCGCCAUUUUUGCUUGAUUUCAGAGCAGUUGGUGUUCUUUAGUCUUCUUGCAACAGCGAUUUUGGGAGCAGUUUCCUGGCAGCCAACAAAUGGAAUUUUCUUGAGCAUGUUUCUAAUCGUUUUGCCAUUGGAAUCCAUGGCUCAUGGGCUCUUCCAUGAAUUGGGUAACUGUUUAGGAGGAACAUCUGUUGGAUAUGCUAUUGUGAUUCCCACCAACUUCUGCAGUCCUGAUGGUCAGCCAACACUGCUUCCCCCAGAACAUGUACAGGAGUUAAAUUUGAGGUCUACUGGCAUGCUCAAUGCUAUCCAAAGAUUUUUUGCAUAUCAUAUGAUUGAGACCUAUGGAUGUGACUAUUCCACAAGUGGACUGUCAUUUGAUACUCUGCAUUCCAAACUAAAAGCUUUCCUCGAACUUCGGACUGUGGAUGGACCCAGACAUGAUACGUAUAUUUUGUAUUACAGUGGGCACACCCAUGGUACAGGAGAGUGGGCUCUAGCAGGUAAACUCACCUUUGGCAGUUUCACUAUUGUAAAG